UACGUAGGGGGCAAGCGUUGUCCGGAAUUACUGGGCGUAAAGCGCACGUAGGCGGAUCAGUUAGUCGGGGGUGAAAUCCCGGGGCUCAACCCCGGAACUGCCUUCGAUACUGCUGGUCUGGAGUCCGAGAGAGGUGAGUGGAAUUCCGAGUGUAGAGGUGAAAUUCGUAGAUAUUCGGAGGAACACCAGUGGCGAAGGCGGCUCACUGGCUCGGUACUGACGCUGAGGUGCGAAAGCGUGGGGAGCAAACAGG
rnacentral:rRNA from 1 species